rnacentral:rRNA from 1 species
GUGGGGAAUAUUGGACAAUGGGCGCAAGCCUGAUCCAGCCAUGCCGCGUGAGUGAUGAAGGCCUUAGGGUUGUAAAGCUCUUUUGUCCGGGAAGAUAAUGACUGUACCGGAAGAAUAAGCCCCGACUAACUUCGUGCCAGCAGCCGCGGUAAUACGAAGGGGGCUAGCGUUGUUCGGAAUCACUGGGCGUAAAGCGCACGUAGGCGGACCAUUAAGUCAGGGGUGAAAGCCUGGAGCUCAACUCCAGAACUGCCUUUGAUACUGAUGGUCUCGAGUUCGGAAGAGGUUGGUGGAACUGCGAGUGUAGAGGUGAAAUUCGUAGAUAUUCGCAAGAACACCAGUGGCGAAGGCGGCCAACUGGUCCGAUACUGACGCUGAGGUGCGAAAGCGUGGGGAGCAAACAGGAUUAGAUACCCUUGUAGUCC